rnacentral:lncRNA from 1 species
GUCUAUUAUGACAAGCAUAGAAUAAUUUGACUUGAUUACACAAAACGAUGCACUAGAUGAAAAGUCAGCACUAAGAAACAAGAAUAUGAAUACACAAAUAUGACAUACAACAGAUUAGUUUCCAUAUAUGUGGCAAGUUUGCAGCCCUUUAAUAUAUUUAUUCUUCAGGAUUUUACACAUUUUCAUCAAGUUAGCAGUACAUUUAAUGGGAUUUGGUCCUUCUACAUAAGGGAUCCGACGAGUUGGUUAACAAGUGUGGGGUGAAUUUUUAAAAAGCGG